rnacentral:rRNA from 1 species
UACGUAGGUGGCAAGCGUUGUCCGGAUUUACUGGGCGUAAAGGGUGCGUAGGCGGACAUUUAAGUCAGAUGUGAAAUACCCGAGCUUAACUUGGGUGCUGCAUUUGAAACUGGGUGUCUAGAGUGCAGGAGAGGUAAGUGGAAUUCCUAGUGUAGCGGUGAAAUGCGUAGAGAUUAGGAAGAACACCAGUGGCGAAGGCGACUUACUGGACUGUAACUGACGCUGAGGCAUAAAGCGUGGGGAGCAAACAGG